rnacentral:rRNA from 1 species
AUUGAACGCUGGCGGCAGGCCUAACACAUGCAAGUCGAGCGGAGCGGCGGACGGGUGAGUAAUGCCUAGGAAUCUGCCUGGUAGUGGGGGAUAACGUCCGGAAACGGGCGCUAAUACCGCAUACUAUCAGUUGAGCCUAGGUCGGAUUGGCUAGUUGGUGGGGUAACGGCUCACCAAGGCGACGAUCCCUAGCUGGUCUGAGAGGAUGACCAGCCACACUGGAACUGGGAGACGGUCCAGACUCCGAGGGGAGGAAGCAGUGGGGAAUAUUGCACAAUGGGCGCAAGCCUGAUGCAGCCAUGCCGCGAGUAUGAAGAAGGCCUUCGGGUUGUAAAGUACUUUCAGCGGGGAGGCGUUACCCGCAGAAGAAGCACCGGCUAACUCCGUGCCAGCCGCCGCGGUAAUAC